CGGGACGGGUGAGUAACGCGUGGGUAACCUGCCUUAUACAGGGGGAUAACAGUCAGAAAUGGCUGCUAAUACCGCAUAAGCGCACAGAGCUGCAUGGCUCAGUGUGAAAAACUCCGGUGGUAUAAGAUGGACCCGCGUUGGAUUAGCUAGUUGGUGAGGUAACGGCCUACCAAGGCGACGAUCCAUAGCCGGCCUGAGAGGGUGAACGGCCACAUUGGGACUGAGACACGGCCCAGACUCCUACGGGAGGCAGCAUG
rnacentral:rRNA from 1 species